GGUUCCUAUGUUGACAUCAGGUCCUAGUCUAGUAUUAGCUGUACAGAGAGACAAUGCUGUGAUGGCUUUUGAUGUGUUAUUGGGAGGUCCAUAUACCUCAGAGUCCAUAUACAAGAAGUAUGGAGAAUUUAUUAUGAGACCCAAGGACACUAGUCAGGUUUCCAAACACCUUGCCUUCUUCUUUGACCAUCUCAUGCCUGGGUGCCAUGCCAUCAUCAGGGAGGUUUGAUUUCAUAGACAGAUUUUUGGAGAAAAUUAUAAGAGGGAGAUGCCGUGCACAGUUCAGUAAAGGGCACAAGAUCACCAGGAAAUUGCCUAGAAAAUUUUAUGGAGCUGUUCAAUAUUCCUGGAAAUGGAUAUUUUUUUCUCCUGGAUUUCUCAAAUGCACAAUUCUAGCACAAAAUGGGGAAAAAAGCAUUGAAGUGAAAAACUGCUCAUGAAAGAGAAUUUUCUGUAUUCUUGAUACAUGAACUUUGAAAUAAUGAUUUGUUGCAUUAAAUGCUGAAGGAGUACAGAAAUUGAGUGAAAUGUGAAAUAAUUUCUAGUUCACUGGUUUGGUACACAUAUUGAUAGAUUCUCUACACAAAAGGAGCUUUUAUUGGAUAAUUGUCAUUAAAAAUGUACUGAUUUGCUGAAGUGGAAACCCAUUAUGAAGUUGAUUAUUGUUUAUAUGUAUAUUGGAAAAAAACUUGAGAAACACAGCUAAACAUUUAAUAGCAAAAGAAUUUUUUAUUUGUCCUGUGGCGAGAAGUCAGCGUGUUCAGCGAAGUGGAAAAUGGGCACCGGAACAAAAUCUAAAAAUAGGCGCUGAGAUCAAAAUCUAUCCCAGAGAUCAAGGGGACGACAAGAAUGGCUGUUCAUUCAGACGAAUCCACUUUACCUUGAAAUGAUGGCCUGGGUGAUGCAAUUGUAUACAUUGUGAUGACAACAACCAGUGGAGUAGAAAAUUGCAAUCGAAACACAUUUUCACCAACCUGAAAGUGGCUGUGAAUAAGGACUGCUCAAGGCUGAAAAAUAUUACCAGUACCAAGAGCAAUGAUUUGCUUGAGUCUGUGAACCUUAGGUGGUUUGAAUAGAGGGUGAACCCUUAGGCCAAAAAACAGGACAGCAAAAGUCACUUGAGUCUUUCUAUAUACUCAGCUGAAAUGGUGAAUGGUAACCGUGAGUUUUGUUGAUAGUGAUAAUAGUGUGAUUUCCCCUAGGCCAGAAGAACAGAGAAAUCAACUUUGAAAGCAGGAAAACUACAUAAACUGGUCAUUGUGUACAAGGCUAUUCAUAUCUCUGUUUGGUUGAAUGUAUAUGUUGGUUUGAAUUCUGGGGAGUUUUCUCUGUAACAGUGUGUUAGUAUGGAGAAAGAUGACUUCUUUUUUGUUAUCAAAUUUGAAAAAGGAAUACUUUUCUGCUUGUAAUGUGAUAUUUUCUGGCAAAGAUAAAGUGGAAAUUUUUGCUUGUUUUUGAAAAUGUUCUGCACUUCAGGUCAAUAUUUUAUUGCCCAUAAUUUCCCAUAUUUUCAUGGGGUCAGCAAUCAUUCCAACAACCCAUAUCAAGCUCAAAGUGAAUUGUUAACUUUAUGCUAUGAUAUUUCUGGUGUAUUACUCAUUUAUUCACCAAGAAACAGUUUUUUAAGAUUCUUAGAUUUUUUGAUUAAACAGAAUCUGGUUUAAAAGGUGGUGAAACUGCAGUCUAACAAUUCUUGAUGAAGAUACAGCAAAGUUAAGCAGAUAUCUUAGUAGAAUAAAUCUGAUAAAAUUUUCUUAUUUAGUCUUUUGAUAAUAAUUUCUAAUAUGUCAUCUUGUAUGUGAUAACACUUGAAUCCAUGUUUAUGUUUCUGAGGCUUUAUUUACCUCAAGAUAGAGCACCCCAGAUCCAUCACAUCUUCAGAAAGGACCUUGCAAAAAGUAAUAUGUGGUAAUUUUAGAGUAAUACUUUGUAUUGCAAAUGACAGGUUUAAUAUCUGUACUGUCUAAUCACUGUACGAUUAGAACACCAAAAUAUCUGAUUAAUAACAUGUAGAUGGAAAAGUAGCAUUUGCUCUUUGAUAGUUUCAGAUAAUUUUUUAUGAAAGGUGUUUUUCAGGCUCGUAACUCGGUAGUGUGCUUUUGGACCUAUAAAGAAAUGUUCUUUGUCAAAAUAACAAAAAAAUAGCAAUAGCAUGUGCCUGUAAUGCCCCAGUCAUUCAAUGAAAUACACUUGUUUGUAUGUUUUAAAUUAUGUCAAGAUCUGCACAAUUAUGUGUCAUUAGAUGGGUAUAGUAUUUUUUGACUGACUGACAGUCAGCCCGAUUGUAAAUGAUAGAUUUUAACAGGGAAUAGUUUUGUAGAUUUUUGGUUAAAACAUCUCACUGUUUGCAGUUUUGAUGACAAGAUGGAAAAAAUCCAGCUUUAGUCUUUAGUUAUGUCUUUAGAAUUAUACAUUUUUAGCCUUUUAGGUGUUGAUUUUAUUUAUUUAUUUAUUUUUUAAAAACCGUACUUCUUUUGAGGUAAACAUCUUUAAGUGGUAUACCUGCUUAGAAGGUUUAUCUGUUACAAUAGCCAAAUAUUCAUAUUUUGUGUUAUGUAGGGAAAGAUAUGGUUAAGUGCGUAAAAUAUAGAUUUUUAUAUAAAGAGGAGUUUAUAAUCACAGUUUAUGUGUAUGUAUUUUCUAUAAAUUCUGUAUAUAGCACUGCUGUAUUUUGGUGAACUUGUUUGAUUAUUUGACUAUUUACUGUGAUAUGUACAUCGUUAGUUUAGGGUUAUGAAUUGUUGCAUGUUGUAUUGAAAGUUUAUUUUGUGACAUGCAGAGAUGUUGAAAGGACCACAUUUUGCUGUUGUGGAGAAAUUUAAAAACUUGGUUGAAUAAAAGAAGAAUUAAGUGAAUUA